rnacentral:rRNA from 1 species
GACGAACGCUGGCGGCGUGCCUAAUACAUGCAAGUAGAACGCACAGGAUGCACCGUAGUUUACUACACCGUAUUCUGUGAGUUGCGAACGGGUGAGUAACGCGUAGGUAACCUGCCUGGUAGCGGGGGAUAACUAUUGGAAACGAUAGCUAAUACCGCAUAAGAACAUUUACUGCAUGGUAGAUGUUUAAAAGGUGCAAAGGCAUCACUACCAGAUGGACCUGCGUUGUAUUAGCUAGUUGGUGAGGUAACGGCUCACCAAGGCAACGAUACAUAGCCGACCUGAGAGGGUGAUCGGCCACACUGGGACUGAGACACGGCCCAGACUCCUACGGGAGGCAGCAGUAGGGAAUCUUCGGCAAUGGGGGGAACCCUGACCGAGCAACGCCGCGUGAGUGAAGAAGGUUUUCGGAUCGUAAAGCUCUGUUGUUAAGGAAGAACGUGUGUGAGAGUGGAAAGUUCACACAGUGACGGUACUUAACCAGAAAGGGACGGCUAACUACGUGCCAGCAGCCGCGGUAAUACGUAGGUCCCGAGCGUUGUCCGGAUUUAUUGGGCGUAAAGCGAGCGCAGGCGGUUAGAUAAGUCUGAAGUGAAAGGCAGUGGCUCAACCAUUGUAGGCUUUGGAAACUGUUUAACUUGAGUGCAGAAGGGGAGAGUGGAAUUCCAUGUGUAGCGGUGAAAUGCGUAGAUAUAUGGAGGAACACCGGUGGCGAAAGCGGCUCUCUGGUCUGUAACUGACGCUGAGGCUCGAAAGCGUGGGGAGCGAACAGG